AUGGUAGGGGAGGGUGCCUUGGGUGAGGGAGGGCGACUUGGCCUGGUGUGCAGGGUAGGAACAGCCCCUUCCUCCGUGCCUGCCUUCCUGCCUUCGGCCGUACAAAGAGAGGGGCAUUUCCGCUCGUCGCCUGUAGUUUCGGUGGUCGCCGUGGUGAUCAGUUCCAGUAGGAUGUUAGGAAGCGACUUAAGAACAUACUGAGAGAAUUGGCCGUCUACUGAUACAUUGCAAAUGCUCUGGGGGUAUCAUGGCAGUCCCACAAACUUCACUUGCAAAAUCCUCGGUGCUUUGCUGAUCUUCCCCUUCCACCCCAGCAGUCGAACCCGCUGCUAAUGAAAGUUACAAUUUGGGGCAGACAGAUGGGGCUGUUGCAACCCAGAUAAUUCUCCUCCUCUAGACCCUGUCAGUUCCUCUGGGUAGUGUUUCUACUGCUGCCACCUCCAGGCUAAGGGAGAAGAAGAAAGACCAAGUCAGUUUAUCCAUUUCCGCUAUUCUAAAAACUUUUGCAAUCCAGUCUGACAUUGUCGGAAGGUGUGACUACUUCCAAUGUUGUGCAUACUGUGGCAUCCAUGCUGCAUUUAUCAUGUUGUGCAAUACUUGAUUUUGUUUAUUUGGCAUUCCCAAUAAAAAUAAUUCAGGCUCUACUGGUAUCUUUGAUUUUAAAAAUUCCUGCAAUGUUUUUUCUACCUUGCCCUAGAAUUCCCUUGCUUUUUAAAUAAGAUCACCACUUGUAGAAUAAAGUUCAUUCUCUUUUCUUUCAUUUCCAACACUUAUUGUUUUUCCCUUAUACGUUUUAUCAAGUUUUGUUGGGGUUAAGUACCACCUGUUCAUUUUAUAAAAGGUUUUUCUAAGGUCAUAACACAAAAUUUUCUUUAAGUCAUUUGACCACAUUUUUCAAAUAUAUCUAAUUCUAUGUUGUGUCCAGCAUUUUGUGCCCAUUUAUUCAGCUUCUCUUUUGAGUUCAAGAUAGAAAAAUCUUCAAGCAGAUAAUAGGACAGGAUUGCAGCAACUUUUAAUAUCUUGAUUUCUUUGAUAUCUUUGCAGUUUGACAGCUAUUUACAAUAUAAUUAGAGGAGACUCUAAUUGAAGAAUCAGAUUUCUGCAGUAAUUUAAAAAAAAUGAAUCAGUGUGAGAUCUAAUAGAAGGCAAACAAUUCUCUGCUUGAACCAGAGCUGCAGGAAUACCAGAUGGU
rnacentral:lncRNA from 1 species